AGUGAACGCUGGCGGCGUGCUUAACACAUGCAAGUCGAACGAGAACGGAUUAUAGCUUGCUAUAAUUGUCAGCUAAGUGGCGCACGGGUGAGUAAUGUAUAGGUAAUAUGCCUCUUACUAAGGGAUAACAAAUGGAAACGUUUGCUAAUACCUUAUACUCCUUAUUAACAGAAGUUAAUAAGGGAAAGAUUUAUUGGUAAGAGAUUAGCCUGUAUUGUAUCAGUUAGUUGGUGGGGUAAUGGCUUACCAAGACUAUGACACAUAACUGGUUUGAGAGGCUGGUCAGUCACACUGGAACUGAGACACGUUCCAGACUCCUACGGGAGGCAGCAGUGGGGAAUAUUGCACAAUGGACGAAAGUCUGAUGCAGCAACGCCGCGUGGAGGAUGACACAUUUCGGUGCGUAAACUCCUUUUAUAUGAGGAGAUAAUGACGGUAUUAUAUGAAUAAGCACCGGCUAACUCCGUGCCAGCAGCCGCGGUAA
rnacentral:rRNA from 1 species